GACGAACGCUGGCGGCGUGCUUAACACAUGCAAGUCGAACGGAAAGACCCUGCUUUUGUGGGGUGCUCGAGUGGCGAACGGGUGAGUAACACGUGAGUAACCUGCCCUUGACUUUGGGAUAACUUCAGGAAACUGGGGCUAAUACCGGAUAGGAGCUCCUGCUGCAUGGUGGGGGUUGGAAAGUUUCGGCGGUUGGGGAUGGACUCGCGGGUUAUCAGCUAGUUGGUGGGGUAGUGGCUUACCAAGGCUUUGACGGGUAGCCGGCCUGAGAGGGUGAUCGGCCACACUGGAACUGGGGCACGGGCCAGAGUCCUACGGGAGGCAGCAGUAGGGAAUCUUCAGAAAUGGGCGAAAGCGUGACGGAGCAACGCCGCGUGAGUGAUGAAGGUCUUCGGAUCGGAAAACUCUGUUAUUAGGGAAGAACAAAUGUGUAAGUAACUAUGCACGUCUUGACGGUACCUAAUCAGAAAGCCACGGCUAACUACGUG
rnacentral:rRNA from 1 species